AUCUAGAGAGGGUAUUUUCCUUCGCCACAUACUGAAUUAUUCUUGUGUUUCUGUUAUUUUUUUCUCAACACACCUUUGAUAAUUCCGCGAUCAAAUGUGCUCGCACGGCGACUCGUAUCAGAGGAUGACAGGUUGGAAAUGGGGUAGCCACGUGAGAACAAUAGAGGUUUUUGGGGCCUCUGUUUUUUGGGGGCCCCAGGCCUUUGCCUCUCUCGCCUACCCCAUGGGCCGAGCCUGAGCGUAGAGAUCCUAUUUUGCCACAAAUGCUUGUGGCUUUCAUUAUAUGCUUUAUAUUAUGCCCCUAAAGUAAUUGGGGUUAUCCUUUGUUUGCAUUUAGAUAUUGUUGAAAAAUUGGAAACUCGGAAGGAGUAUAAUUGGGAUGAAGUUGUAUAUAACGUCUUGCAUACUAAAAUGAAAAAGGCUAAGAAAACUAUCACUAAGAGAUCCCAUGGAAAGUCAUCUAGAGGUGGUUAUAUGGACGGCUUUACCUCGGUUGUGGUGAUUUGGUUUUAUGAGUUUGUGGAUAAGUUGAGCGUUCUCGUAGGAGCCGAAUGCCUACAACCCAUCCUAACCUUCGACAAGUAUUCAGAAAGUUUACGGAGGAAUUCAGUGCAGGAUCUCAGGAUUUUGUUAGAGACACGGCUAAUUUUAGGAAGUGUAAUAAUAACUCGAUGGUGCUAAAAUUUGAUGAGAGCGUUACUGAAGUUGCCAUCACAGAAGCUGUCACUAUAGAAUUCAAUGGAAAGGUGUAAUUUGUUAUUUGUUUAAUUUUUAAUGUGAUUGUUAUAAAAUUUGAACUUAUGGAUGGA